UACGGAGGGUGCAAGCGUUAUCCGGAUUCACUGGGUUUAAAGGGUGCGUAGGUGGAAUGGUAAGUCAGUGGUGAAAUCUCCAAGCUUAACUUGGAACUGCCGUUGAUACUAUCAUUCUUGAAUAUCGUGGAGGUAAGCGGAAUAUGUCAUGUAGCGGUGAAAUGCUUAGAUAUGACAUAGAACACCGAUUGCGAAGGCAGCUUGCUACACGAUCAUUGACACUGAGGCACGAAGCGUGGGGAUCAAACAGG
rnacentral:rRNA from 1 species